CCUACGGGAGGCAGCAGUGAGGAAUCUUGGUCAAUGGCCGGAAGGCUGAACCAGCCAAGCCGCGUGAGGGAGGAAGGCGCUGAGCGUCGCAGACCUCUUUUGCCGGGGGACAAAAGGCCGGACGGGUCUGGUUCUGAGGGUACCCGGAGAAAAAGCAUCGGCUAACUCCGGGACAGCAGCAGCGGUAAUACGGGGGAUGCGAGCGUUAUCCGGAUUCAUUGGGUUUAACGGGUGCGCAGGCGGGCCUUUACGCCGGAGGGGAAAGCGCGGGGCUAAACCCCGCCGAGCCGUCGGAACUGGGGGCCUUGAGUGCGGCAGAGGCAUGCGGAAUGCGCGGUGUAGCGGUGAAAUGCAUAGAUAUCGGGCAGAACCCCGAUGGCGAAGGCAGCGUGCCGGGCCGCCACUGACGCUGAGGCACGAAAGCGCGGGGAUCGAACAGGAUGAGAUACCCGGGUAGUC
rnacentral:rRNA from 1 species